UACGGAGGGGGGCUAGCGUUGUUCGGAAUUACUGGGCGUAAAGCGCACGUAGGCGGCUUUGUAAGUUAGAGGUGAAAGCCCGGGGCUCAACUCCGGAAUUGCCUUUAAGACUGCAUCGCUAGAAUUGUGGAGAGGUAAGUGGAAUUCCGAGUGUAGAGGUGAAAAUUCGUAGAUAUUCGGAAGAACACCAGUGGCGAAGGCGACUUACUGGACACAUAUUGACGCUGAGGUGCGAAAAGCGUGGGGGAGC
rnacentral:rRNA from 1 species